GUGCUCGCUUCGGCAGCACAUAUACUAAAAUUGGAACGAUACAGAGAAGAUUAGCAUGGCCCCUGCGCAAAAAAAAAAAAAAUUCCCUUAGUGUCUUUCCAGGAGUUU
ensembl:snRNA U6 U6 spliceosomal RNA